rnacentral:tRNA from 1 species
GCGGGCGUGGCGGAAUGGUAGACGCAACGGACUUAAAAUCCGUUUUUCGCAAGAGAGUGUGGGUUCGAGUCCCACCGCCCGCACCA